rnacentral:rRNA from 1 species
UACGUAGGGUGCGGGCGUUAAUCGGAAUUACUGGGCGUAAAGCGUGCGCAGGCGGCUCCUUAAGUCAGAUGUGAAAGCCCCGGGCUUAACCUGGGAACUGCGUUUGAAACUGGGGAGCUAGAGUGUGGAAGAGGGGGGUGGAAUUCCAGGUGUAGCAGUGAAAUGCGUAGAGAUCUGGAGGAACGCCGAUGGCGAAGGCAGCCCCCUGGGCUAACACUGACGCUCAUGCACGAAAGCGUGGGGAGCAAACAGG